rnacentral:rRNA from 1 species
CAGCCGCCACGGGAAUACGUAGGUGGCAAGCGUUGUCCGGAAUUAUUGGGCGUAAAGGGCUCGCAGGCGGUUUCUUAAGUCUGAUGUGAAAGCCCCCGGCUCAACCGGGGAGGGUCAUUGGAAACUGGGAAACUUGAGUGCAGAAGAGGAGAGUGGAAUUCCACGUGUAGCGGUGAAAUGCGUAGAGAUGUGGAGGAACACCAGUGGCGAAGGCGACUCUCUGGUCUGUAACUGACGCUGAGGAGCGAAAGCGUGGGGAGCGAACAGGAUUAGAGACCCCGGUAGUCCCUGUCUCUUAUAC